rnacentral:rRNA from 1 species
UACGUAGGCAGCAAGCGUUGUUCGGAAUUACUGGGCGUCAAGAGUGUGUAGGCGGUGUUCUAAGUCUGUUGUGAAAUCUCCCGGCUUAACUGGGAGGGUGCGGCGGAGACUGGAAUGCUAGAGUGUGGGAGAGGUAAGCGGAAUUCCUGGUGUAGCGGUGAAAUGCGUAGAUAUCAGGAGGAACACCUGUGGUGUAGACAGCUUACUGGACCACGACUGACGCUGAGACACGAAAGCGUGGGUAGCAAACAGG